AUAUUAUCAACCUUUUUGGUUGGAUGUGGGUUUGCUGGACUCUUGAGAUCAGCUCUCCUUAAAUGCAUUAGCGGACAACAUUUUGCCAACCGUUCAUUGGUGUGAUAAUUAUCUACGCUAUUGACGUGAAGCAAGGUUCAGCUUCUAACAGUCUAUUGACUUGGACAAGCCUCUUUUCUAUUAA
rnacentral:misc_RNA from 1 species